rnacentral:rRNA from 1 species
GACGAACGCUGGCGGCGUGCUUAACACAUGCAAGUCGAACGGUGAUGCUCCAGCUUGCUGGAGUGGAUCAGUGACGAACGGGUGAGUAACACGUGAGCAACCUGCCCCAGACUCUGGAAUAAGCGCUGGAAACGGCGUCUAAUACUGGAUACGAAACUGGCCCGCAUGGGCAUGGUUUGGAAAGUUUUUCGGUUUUGGAUGGGCUCGCGGCUUACCAGCUUGUUGGUGAGGUAAUGGCUCACCAAGGCGACGACGGCUAGCCGGCCUGAGAGGGCGAACGGGGACACUGGGACUGAGAGACGGCCCAGACGCCUACGGGAGGCAGCGGUGGGGAAUAUUGCACAAUGGGCGAAAGCCUGAUGCAGCGACGCCGCGUGAGGGAUGACGGCCUUCGGGUUGUAAACCUCUUUCAGCAGGGAAGAAGCGAAAGUGACGGUACCUGCAGAAGAAGCACCGGCUAACUACGUG